GGCUGGAGAAGGUCCCAAGGGUCCGGCUGUUCGCCGGUUAAAGUGGUACGCGAGCUGGGUUCAGAACGUCGCGAGACAGUUCGGUCCUUAUCCACUGUGGGCGCAGGAGAAUUGAGGGGUUCAGACUUUAGUACGAGAGGACCGAGUCUGACGAACCGCUGGUGUUCCGGUUGUCGUGUCAACGGCAGUGCCGGGUAGCUAUGUUCGGAAAGGAUAAGCGCUGAAAGCAUCUAAGCGCCAAGCCUGUCCCAAGAUGAGUUCUCCCUGAAGAGUCGUGGUAGACCACCACGUUGAUAGGUUACUGGUAGAAGCGCAGUAAUGCGUGUAGCUAAGUAAUACUAAUAACUCGUUCGGCUUGGUCAUUUA
rnacentral:rRNA from 1 species